CUCAGUGUCUUCCCACAGUGUUCAGGUGUGUUAUUUCAAACUACAAGCGUACAGUCUCUGUUGCGAUCAAUAAGUCUUCUUUGGCAACCCUGCUUUAAAAUGGCCACCGAACUCUGAAUCUUGGUAUAUGUUGGUGCAUUUUUCUGUAG